CGAAAGUUGGUUUCUUCGGACACUCUUCAAGGUGCUGCAUGGUUGUCGUCAGCUCGUGCCGUGAGGUGUCGGGUUAAGUCCCAUAACGAGCGCAACCCUUACUGUUAGUUGCCAGCGGGUCAAGCCGGGAACUCUAACGGGACUGCCACCGUAAGGUGAGAGGAAGGUGGGGAUGACGUCAAAUCAGCACGGCCCUUAUGUCCAGGGCUACACACGUGUUACAAUGGUCGGUACAAAGGGCAGCUACACCGCGAGGUGAUGCUAAUCUCUAAAGCCGGUCUCAGUUCGGAUCGAAGUCUGCAACCCGACUUCGUGAAGUUGGAUUCGCUAGUAAUCGCGCAUCAGCCAUGGCGCGGUGAAUACGUUCCCGGGCCUU
rnacentral:rRNA from 1 species